rnacentral:rRNA from 1 species
UCGGGAAUUUUGCGCAAUGGACGAAAGUCUGACGCAGCAACGCCGCGUGAGGGAUGACGGCCUUCGGGUUGUAAACCUCUUUUGUCAGGGACGAUUAUGACGGUACCUGACGAAUAAGCCACGGCUAACUACGUGCCAGCAGCCGCGGUAAUACGUAGGUGGCAAGCGUUGUCCGGAUUUACUGGGCGUAAAGAGCGCGCAGGCGGUCGUUCAAGUCGCGUGUGAAAGCCCCCGGCUCAACUGGGGAGGGUCACGCGAUACUGAUCGACUCGAAGGCAGGAGAGGGAAGUGGAAUUCCCGGUGUAGUGGUGAAAUGCGUAGAUAUCGGGAGGAACACCAGUGGCGAAGGCGACUUCCUGGCCUGUUCUUGACGCUGAGGCGCGAAAGCUAGGGGAGCAAACG